CUUACCUGGUGUCCGAUUUUUGCAAGUUCUUCGCUUAUUUUUCCGGUAUUUGUUUUUGUGUGUAGUCCCCUGAUUACUGCUUUGUAGCUUUUGUCGGUUUUGCGUUGAAAAGUGUGAUAUGCUGCGUUUUUUUCCUUUAGUGAUCUUGUAAUUUUUCUGAAUAUUUCUGGGGUGUUGGUUUGCACUUUCACCUGGUCUAUUUUUAUCUGUUUGAUGAUAUAGUUGUCUUUCCCUGCGGUGUUGUUUAGUAGUUCGAUGAGGGGGUCAAUUAUUUUCGCGUCUAUGUAUAUCGGUGGUGGUUUGGGAAUACGGUUUGUCGGACUUUCCGUUGGGUCCGUUGCUGCCUCUUCUGGCAGUACGCUGAAUGGAUUGUGCAGCUUGAUAUCUUGUAGCCAUUGUUUUUUUUCAUAUGUAUCAAUUUUCCUCGCGCUUGCUAGCGGGGUUACCUUCCAUUUUUUGCUGGAGGUUGCCACCGUCCAGCUUUCUUCCUGGUGUAUUGGUUCAUUGUCCUCUCCGUCGGAUUGUGUUGUUUCCAUGUUAUCGUCUUUUUUCUCUGCAUAUGUAGAGUCUGUAGCUCUAUUUAUAAAAUAUGUGUCUCC
rnacentral:misc_RNA from 1 species